rnacentral:misc_RNA from 1 species
GAUGAAGAACGUAGCGAAAUGCGAUACGUAAUGUGAAUUGCAGAAUUCAGUGAAUCAUCGAGUCUUUGAACGCACAUUGCGCCCCCUGGUAUUCCGGGGGGCAUGCCUGUCCGAGCGUCAUUGCUGCCCUCAAGCACGGCUUGUGUGUUGGGCCUCCGUCCUCCUCCCGGGGGACGGGCCCGAAAGGCAGCGGCGGCACCGCGUCCGGUCCUCGAGCGUAUGGGGCUUCGUCACCCGCUCUUGUAGGCCCGGCCGGCGCUUGCCGACACAUCAAUCUUUUUUCCAGGUUGACCUCGGAUCAGGUAGGGAUACCCGCUGAACUUAAGCAUAUGAAUAAGCGGAGGA